CAGCCGCCGCGGUAACACGUAGGUGGCAAGCGUUGUCCGGAAUUAUUGGGUGUAAAGGGCUCGCAGGCGGUUUCUUAAGUCUGAUGUGAAAGCCCCCGGCUCAACCGGGGAGGGUCAUUGGAAACUGGGAAACUUGAGUGCAGAAGAGGAGAGUGGAAUUCCACGUGUAGCGGUGAAAUGCGUAGAGAUGUGGAGGAACACCAGUGGCGAAGGCGACUCUCUGGUCUGUAACUGACGCUGAGGAGCGAAAGCGUGGGGAGCGAACAGGAUUAGAUACCCCGGUAGUCCCUGUCUCUUAUAC
rnacentral:rRNA from 1 species